AGAGGAUAAGUCAGUUUUUUUUGCAAUUCAUUAUUUUAGUAUUUAGUCUUUUGCUCUCAAUAUUCAAUUGUAUAUCUUUAUUAUGCUAUGUUUUUUGUGCAGAUUUUUGUGCAUUCACAAAGUUUUUUUACAGUUGUUUAUUUAUAUAUUCCUGAUGUUUCAUGCUUUUUAUUGAGUCUGUUAUUUUUUGUCUAUAGUCAAUUUAAAACAAACUAUUAGUAAGUAAAGUUUGAACUAUUUUAGUUAUUUAGUCAUUUAAACUUUUUUUUUUUUUGUAAUGUUAGUGUUAAAGUUUAAUAUUAUAAUAGAGUUUGUAAUUUAAAGUUGGCUUUUAGGUGAAUUCAGACAGCAGAUUUGUAAGUUUAGUAAAUUUUAAUAAUUUCAAUGUUUAAAUGAUACAUGCUAACUAAAGAUUAAUACUUAAUUGAUACAUAAGCUAAAGGUGUUUAAUUUAUUGAUACACGCUAACUAAAGAUGUUGUAACGAAAAUUAUAACUUGAAAUUAAGUUUAUUUUAGUAAACAUUAUAUUACUAUUUUUAUAACUUAUUUCUUUUUAAUUCUUUAGCAACACUUACUUCAUUAAUUGGUAAGAGAUUAAUGUGUAUUUUUUUGUGUAUGUAUUAAGAAAUAUAGUCUGAUUUUGUGUAUUAUGCAGUAUUGUACUAUUUAAUAUGUACUAUGUUAUUGUAUAUUUAUUAUGUACUAUAUAUGUAUAUUUAAUAUGCAAUAUUUACAUAUACCAUUUAAUCUUUUGUGUCAUUGUAUUAUUUAACCUUUAAUAUCCUUGUCAUCUGUUGCAGCUGGUAAGGUUUCUAUAUUAUUAAUUUAAGAGAUAAAGUUGUUAAAUGCUCAGUUCAUUUAGCGCGUAUAAAUAGAGUUAGCAAUCGAUUGCAUCAGGCUAAAUUUAGAGCCAAAAAUUCGCAAAGACAGGCAUCCAAGCCCCAAAAAAUAGAUGAAAAAGAAAAAAGUUAGAGCGUUAGCUAUGUAAACUGAGUUAUGAUGAAAUUAUAGAUUCAUACAAAAACUUGUCCAAUGACCAACUUUAUAAUUUAGAUGUCAUGUAUGGAAGAAUUGUAGGCAAAAAACUAUACCAUAAAUGGUAUGAUCCUAAACAUCCAAGCCUGUUUUGUAUAAUGGCAGAGUAGAAAAAGUUAUUAGUAGAAAAAAUGGUUUAGUUUACACUAUUUCUUACUGGAAAGAUGAUGAAACGUAUAUGGAAGCUGUUGACCGUUGCAUGAAAAAGAUCCAGCUUGUUGCAGAUGUUAUUUCAGAAGAGUUACAAUUUUAUUAAUUUUAUAUUAUAUUAAUAAAACUCUGUGAAAGUACAAGUUUGAAAUUUAAGCUAAAAAAGUACUACAAGUGAAUUGCUGAAAAAUACUACCAGUGUCGUGACUAGUUAAAAGAAAUUUGUUAUUGUAACCAUUCAUUAAAAGCCAAGACAAAACUAUAUAAGAUAAAAAAUAAAUAAACCAUUAUUUUUUCUUUUUAGUAACAUUUUAUUUGUUUUUUAGGUUGAAAUAGCCUAAAAAAAUUUUAAAUAAACUUCAAAAAAAUUUGUGACUUGCUAAACAAAUGUACUGCAAGUGUUAUAACUUGCUAUGCAUUUUUGAUAGAAAGCUCUGGCUUAGCUUCACGUGGUGUCUAUUGUUAAAAAUGAUUAUAAAAUAAUUUCAUUAGUGGAAUUUAUCAUUGUAAUCAUUCACUAAAAGCCAAGAAAAAAAUUUUAGGAAAUAAAUCAUCAUUAAAAUAAUCAAACAUUGUUUAGUGUUAAUAAUAUUUUAUUUGUUUUUUAGUUUGAAACAGCCUAACUUUUUGUUAACCAAACUAGUAUUAAACACUAAAUGAAAGAUUUGAAAAUUUAUAAAGGUUGGUAAAUACCUUUUUUUGAUUACCUUUUUACCACUAUUGGCUGAUAAUAGAAGUCACUCGUAGGAGAAUAUUUUAACAAAUAAUUCUCCAAUUAAUCAAAAAUACUUUUUUAAAAAAAAUGUUUAGUCAAAGGAAAGGGUGGGGGGAUGUGAUAGUCCCUCACUUUUGACAAUGGAUGCAACACUGAUGUAACUUUCAACCGAGUAAGAUAUAUUUUUUACUUCUUUGUUGUUGUUCUUUAAAUAACCAAUCAAAUAUUUCAUAAUUAAAAUUUUUUUGCGAUAUUAGGGUGUAUUAAAACAUGGUCAACACAUUUAACAUGAGUUUUACACUUACCUUCAAUGUUUGGUGGUUGUCCAGUAUUAAUUUAUAGAACCUUUUUUAUAGAAAAAAAAACUUUGUUUUGGUCUUUAGGAAACAGUAGUUGUGUUAUUUUAAUAUAUAUUUUUUUCUUUUAGGUUGAGGUGGGGGUUAUACGCCCCUCCCAUAUAUCGAUGUUAACACCACUUAAAUUUCACCACGUAAAUUCUGGUAGAACAUAAUUUAUAUUGUAUACUAAUUAAAUUCAUUUUAGUAAAGAAAAAAAUAUUUAUGAAAUUAAGUCAUAUUUGAUACUAGAGUGUAUCAAACCACCACCACCAUACCCACCUUCAACGUUAACAUACCCCUCUCAUAUACUCUGGUGGUUAAAUAUAUUUUUAUAACAAUGUUUUUGUAUAAUUAAAAUAACUUGUCUUGAAAAAAGACCUUUUGUGAAAAAAAUGUUUAGUUUCAUACGGGUAAGGUGGUGGUUUGGUGUCCCCUCUGUCCAUCCGAUACACCCGGUGGUUAGAAUUUAACAAAAGUUUGUAGCCCACUCUUACACCUAUCUUUUGACACUUUUGAUAUACAACAGUAGAAUAUUUAUUCAAUUUCAAAUUUUUACUCACGUACCUAUCUCUAUCCAGCAAGGAUGCUCAAGAUUUGUAUCUUGCAAGUUUAAUAACUUUAAAUAACGUUUCAAGAAGAAGACCACAAAACAUUUAUUCAAAAGGUUAUAAUAGCAGUUACAAAUAUAAAUUUUUUAUUACAAAUCACGAGAUACUUACGAGUUCGUUUAUUUAUGUUUGCUUUUCAGCGUUUAUUUAAUCUUUGGCAUAAAGAAUGGAAAAUUAGAAACCAUUAAAAGAAGCUUUUUAACUAAAGGUCACUCUCCCCAUGAUAGAAGAGGUAAACACAAGAAUCAGUAUAACAAUUUUACUCCUCAACU
rnacentral:lncRNA from 1 species